AAAUCCUUAAUGUGUCAUUGAGGAUAAGGUAAGGGAAAAUAAUGAUAAUACCUUACUAUAAGUGUCGUCUAAAACUCGUGCCAGAAGACUCGGUAAGGCGAGAGACGCAAACGUUAAUCAUCUUGAUCAGGCGUAAAGGGUGUGUAGGCUGUUACGUUACUAAGGCUUUAAUUAAAUGUGUGAAAGCCCCUGCUACGCAGUAUAUAAAAUGCUUGCACAGCAUAAUUUAUUACGCUGUACAGCAGAGUCCCGUAUCCCGUAAGCCGUAAAGGCAGGGAGGGGCAGGGCUUUGUUUUUUUAUUUUUCCCUUUUUAACAGUAACUAGAAUCUAAAGGAGGUUAAAACAAUAUCCUUCACAGAAGUGUUCGAACUUAAGAAGAUGGGUAGAGUGUUAAAGGCGAAGGCUUUUUUCCAAUACAGAUUGACGCUGAGAAACGAAGGGGAGGACAGAAAAAAGGAUUAGAGACCCUUGUAUUCCUCUCUGUCAACGAUGAAUGGUAGUCAUGAGAUAGAAAUCAUCUUGAGGCGAUGUUAACACGUAAAACCAUUCCGCCUUGUGAGUACGACUGCAAAGUUGAAAACAAAAAAAUUAGU
rnacentral:rRNA from 1 species